rnacentral:ncRNA from 1 species
CGUUGUCCUCAGGGCGGGGUGGAAGUCCCCACCGGCGGUAUCCCGGAAAACCGGGGAGCCCGCGAGCGCUUUUCGCCCGUGCGCCACAGGGACGGCCGCAGCCGGCCGCUCCCGGACGGAGCCUCCUCCGUGGGCGCGACGCCGGGGCCACUCCACGGGCCCUGCGCGGCGGAAAGGUCAGCAGACCUGGUGCGAGGCCAGGGCCGACGGUCACAGUCCGGAGUGAAGAGGAGAAGA